AGAAUCAACGCUGGCGGCGUGCCUAACACAUGCAAGUCGAACGAGAAAGUGGAGCAAUCCAUGAGUAAAGUGGCGACCGGGUGAGUAACACGUGACUAACCUACCUUCGAGUGGGGGAUAACCUCGGGAAACCGGGGCUAAUACCGCAUAACAUCUUUGAAGUGGAAAUUUCGGAGAUCAAAGGAGCAAUUCGCUUGAAGAGGGGGUCGCGGCUGAUUAGCUAGUUGGCGGGGUAACGGCCCACCAAGGCUUAGAUCGGUAGCCGGCCUGAGAGGGCGCACGGCCACACUGGAACUGAAACACGGUCCAGACUCCUACGGGAGGCAGCAGUGGGGAAUUUUGCGCAAUGGGGGAAACCCUGACGCAGCAACGCCGCGUGGAGGAUGAAGUCCCUUGGGACGUAAACUCCUUUCGACCCGGACGAUAAUGACGGUACGGGUGGAAGAAGCCCCGGCUAACUUCGUGCCAGCAGCCGC
rnacentral:rRNA from 1 species